rnacentral:rRNA from 1 species
AUUGAACGCUGGCGGCAUGCCUUACACAUGCAAGUCGAACGGCAGCACGGGAGCAAUCCUGGUGGCGAGUGGCGAACGGGUGAGUAAUAUAUCGGAACGUGCCCAGUCGUGGGGGAUAACGCAGCGAAAGCUGUGCUAAUACCGCAUACGAUCUCUGGAUGAAAGCGGGGGACUCGCAAGGGCCUCGCGCGAUUGGAGCGGCCGAUAUCAGAUUAGGUAGUUGGUGGGGUAAAGGCUCACCAAGCCGACGAUCUGUAGCUGGUCUGAGAGGACGACCAGCCACACUGGAACUGAGACACGGUCCAGACUCCUACGGGAGGCAGCAGUGGGGAAUUUUGGACAAUGGGCGCAAGCCUGAUCCAGCAAUGCCGCGUGCAGGAUGAAGGCCUUCGGGUUGUAAACUGCUUUGUUACGGAACGAAACGGUACUGCUUUAAUACAGUGGCUAAUGACGGUACCGUAAGAAUAAGCACCGGCUAAC